rnacentral:rRNA from 1 species
CUACGGGGGGCUGCAGUCGAGAAUAGUCUACAAUGGACGAAAGUCUGAUAGUGCGACGCCGCGUGGAUGAAGAAGCAUUUCGGUGUGUAAAGUCCUUUUCUGUGAGAGCAAUGUUUUCCAGGUUAAUAGCUUGGAGAAAGCGAUAUUAUCACAGGAAUAAGCUCCGGCUAACUCCGUGCCAGCAGCCGCGGUAACACGGGGGGAGCAAGCGUUGUCCGGAAUUACUAGGCGUAAAGGGUAAGUAGGCGGAAUUGUAAGUCAGAUGUUAAAGGCACCGGCUCAACCGAUGUAUGGCAUUUGAUACUGUAAUUCGAGAGUAAGGUGGGGGAAGACGGAAUUCCUGGUGUAGCGGUGGAAUGCGCAGAUAUCAGGAGGAACACCAGAGGCGAAGGCGGUCUUCUAUACCAUUACUGACGCUCAAUUACGAAGGUGUGGGUAUCAAACAGGAUUAGAUACCCGUGUAGUC